rnacentral:lncRNA from 10 species
AUGAGCCCACCAGAAGGAAGAAACUCCAGACACAUCCGAACAUCAGAAGGAACAAACUCCGGACACGCCGCCUUUAAGAACUGUAACACUCACCGCAAGGGUCCGCGGCUUCAUUCUUGAAGUCAGUUAGACCAAGAACCCACCAAUUCUGGACACAACGGUGGCCCAUAACUGUAAUCCCAGGACUUUGGGAGGCUGAGGUGGGAAGAUUACUUGAGCCCAGGAGUUUAAGACCAGCCUAGGCAACACAGUGGAUCCCCAACUCUACAAAAACUUAAAAAGUUAGCUGAGCGUGGUGGUCCAUGCCUGUGGUCCCAGCUACUCAGGAGGCUGAGGUGGAAGGAUCACUUGAACCCAGGAGGUCAAGGCUGCAGCGAGUCAUAUUCAUGCCACUGUUCUCUAGCCUGGGUGACAGAGUGAGACCUGGUCUCAAAAAUAAAUAAAUAAGUAAAUAAUAAGUAAAUAAAACAUACCCCACCCCAGCCCGCCGAAUAGACUACAACUAUUUGACAGAAGAGGAUAGGAAUUAUUUACUUGCCUAUUGUAAGCGUCUUCCUGGAUUAUAGUAGAUAAGCCAUUUUACUACAUGAAUGAAUUAAUUGAAAGCUUAGACGGCUUGAGGACGAUGGGAGAAGAAGAAACCAGGAAAAAGGCAAGAAUGGAGGAAAAGAAGAAUUCCAAAAAGAUCAGUUGAAGACUGGAUAUGGCUUUCAAGAAGGAAACACUAGCAUCACUCUCCUCAGCUUAAGUGCCUGCUGAGAUGAGAGCAGCAGGCCUAUCUGAUGUUCUCGUGAGAAAGAAGCAAGAAGGCAGAUUUCUUGACAUUGCUUUGUAGUUGUUUCUCGAAGUUUCGGAGCCUACAGGAACAUAAAGAUGGUGUCUGUUUCCGGUCCAGAGAUUUCUGAAGGCAAGAGAUCUGCUAAGGUAGCCCAUGCGAGCAGUGUGUACAGAGAUAAUGUAAUGAGCUGGGGGCAGAAGAGAGAGUGGCGUCCUAUAUUCCACUUUGCUCUGGCUUUUUGGACGAGGCAAGGAAGUUAGGAUCUCAGUAGCUUCUCAUAAAAGCAUGUGGAAAUUAGAGGUGAUUCAGGUCACUUCCAGGGCAAAACAACUCAAGGUCCAAUUUUAAUAAGGAGUCAGGGGAUUAAUGAUAAGACUGAAGUGAGAGUUGGCUGCUUUUCUCUGAAGCUGGUUUUCAGAUACAGAGGAUACAAGAUGAAGUGGAAAAACUGCUUACAUUAUAUGCUUGCAGGUACACUUAAAGGAAUCACUCAUCUCUUAAAAAAAUUCUAUUCUACUCAAGCAUUAUUUUCCAGAUUUAAGAUCCCCUUUACAUUCUUUCAACAGAUACUUAUUGAAUACUGACAAUGUUCCAGGUCCUAUUCUUGGUGCUGGGGAUGUAACAAUGAACGUAGACACAUAUAUAGAGAGAGGAAGACUAUAAACCGAGUCCUCUAUCAGUGUCAAAGCUGCCAGCACAAAGAUUGUGAGUUGUACUGAUGGCAGUGUCAAGCACAAAGCAGGAGCCCUGAUAUACAUUAUACUGAAUGAAUAAAUUAGGUUAAAUUAGAUGACUUCUAGGAUCAUUUCCAGUUUUGGUAAUUUGUGUUUUCCUUAUUGUCUCCAACUCUGUUAGUUAUGCAUAUCUUAUUUGGACAUAAUUUUAAUAUUAAUCAAGUACAAAUUAUAUUCUGGAUAAUGCUAAAGUGUAUCAUAUAUUUGUGUGUUCUCAUUUAAUUUUCAUAGCAGCACCAUGAGGUAGAUUUGAUUAUCCCAUUUUACAGAUGAAUGUACUAAGGCUCAUGAGGUUAAAUGUUUUACCCAAUUGGCACAGCUGGAAUUUGAAAGCUAUGGGUUUUUUGUUUGGUUGGUUGGUUGUUUUUUUUCUUUUGCUCCAAAUCCUGUACUUUUUCUGUUAGAUCACACUGU